GACGAACGCUGGCGGCGUGCCUAAUACAUGCAAGUAGAACGCACAGUUUAUACCGUAGCUUGCUACACCAUAAACUGUGAGUUGCGAACGGGUGAGUAACGCGUAGGUAACCUGCCUGGUAGCGGGGGAUAACUAUUGGAAACGAUAGCUAAUACCGCAUAAUAUUGAUUAUUGCAUGAUAAUUGAUUGAAAGAUGCUAUUGCAUCACUACCAGAUGGCCCUGCGUUGUAUUAGCUAGUAGGUGAGGUAACGGCUCACCUAGGCGACGAUACAUAGCCGACCUGAGAGGGUGAUCGGCCACACUGGGACUGGGACACGGCCCAGACUCCUGCGGGAGGCAGCAGUAGGGAAUCUUCGGCGAUGGACGAAAGUCUGACCGAGCAACGCCGCGUGAGUGAAGAAGGUUUUCGGAUCGUAAAGCUCUGUUGUAAGAGAAGAACGGGUGUGAGAGUGGAAAGUUCACACUGUGACGGUAUCUUACCAGAAAGGGACGGCUAACUACGUG
rnacentral:rRNA from 1 species